rnacentral:tRNA from 1 species
ACCCUCUUAGCUCAGGGGACAGAGCGCCCGGUUCCGGACCGGGAGGCCGCAGGUUCGACUCCUGCAGGGGGUGCCA